rnacentral:rRNA from 1 species
UGGGGAAUAUUGCACAAUGGGGGAAACCCUGAUGCAGCGACGCCGCGUGAGCGAAGAAGGUUUUCGAAUCGUAAAGCUCUGUCCUAUGGGAAGAUAAUGACGGUACCAUAGGAGGAAGCCCCGGCUAACUACGUGCCAGCAGCCGCGGUAAUACGUAGGGGGCAAGCGUUGUCCGGAAUCACUGGGCGUAAAGGGUUCGCAGGCGGAAAUGCAAGUCAGUUGUGAAAGGCAGAGGCUCAACCUCUGUAAGCAAUUGAAACUGUAUUUCUUGAGAUGUGGAGAGGCAAGUGGAAUUCCUAGUGUAGCGGUGAAAUGCGUAGAUAUUAUGAAGAAUACCGGUGGCGAAGGCGACUUGCUGGACACAAACUGACGCUGAGGAACGAAAGCGUGGGUAGCAAACAGG